rnacentral:rRNA from 1 species
UGGGGAAUAUUGCACAAUGGGCGCAAGCCUGAUGCAGCCAUGCCGCGUGUAUGAAGAAGGCCUUCGGGUUGUAAAGUACUUUCAGCGGGGAGGAAGGGGGUAAAGUUAAUACCUUUGUCCAUUGACGUUACCGGCAGAAGAAGCACCGGCUAACUCCGUGCCAGCAGCCGCGGUAAUACGGAGGGUGCAAGCGUUAAUCGGAAUUACUGGGCGUAAAGCGCACGCAGGCGGUUUGUUAAGUCAGAUGUGAAAUCCCCGGGCUUAACCUGGGAAUUGCAUCUGAUACUGGUAAGCUAGAGUCUUGUAGAGGGGGGUAGAAUUCCAGGUGUAGCGGUGAAAUGCGUAGAGAUAUGGAGGAAUACCGGUGGCGAAGGCGGCCCCCUGGACGAAGACUGACGCUCAGGUGCGAAAGCGUGGGGAGCAAACAGG